UCGUGUCAUAUGGGCAAUGCUUCUUUCAUGU
rnacentral:piRNA from 1 species